ensembl:snRNA U6 U6 spliceosomal RNA
GUGCUUGCUUAAGCUACAUAAAUUCUAAAAUUGGUACAAUACUGAGACAAUUAGCAUGGCCCCUUUGCAAGGAGGAUGUACAAAUUUGUGAAGUGUUUCAUAUUUUU